rnacentral:tRNA from 1 species
UCCCUGGUGGCUUAGGCACUAAAGAGUCUGCCUGCAGUGCAGAAGACCCAGGUUCGAUCCCUGGGUGGGGAA